GAUGAAGAACUUAGCGAAAUGCGAUACGUAAUGUGAAUUGCAGAAUUCAGUGAAUCAUCGAGUCUUUGAACGCACAUUGCGCCCCCUGGUAUUCCGGGGGGCAUGCCUGUCCGAGCGUCAUUGCUGCCCUCAAGCACGGCUUGUGUGUUGGGCCUCCGUCCUCCUCCCGGGGGACGGGCCCGAAAGGCAGCGGCGGCACCGCGUCCGGUCCUCGAGCGUAUGGGGCUUCGUCACCCGCUCUUGUAGGCCCGGCCGGCGCUUGCCGACACAUCAAUCUUUUUUCCAGGUUGACCUCGGAUCAGGUAGGGAUACCCGCUGAACUUAAGCAUAUCAAUAAGCGGAGGA
rnacentral:misc_RNA from 1 species